rnacentral:rRNA from 1 species
UACAGAGGUCCCAAGCGUUGUUCGGAUUCACUGGGCGUAAAGGGUGCGUAGGUGGUGGGGUAAGUCGGAUGUGAAAUCUCCGAGCUCAACUCGGAAACUGCAUUGGAAACUACCCUGCUAGAGGGUCGGAGGGGGGACUGGAAUACUUGGUGUAGCAGUGAAAUGCGUAGAUAUCAAGUGGAACACCAGUGGCGAAGGCGGCAUCCUGGACCGACACUGACGCUGAGGAGCGAAAGCCAGGGGAGCAAACGGG